GUCUGGGGAGGUAAAAAUAAAUAAAUAAAUAAAUAAAAAAUAAACAAACAAAUAAAUAAAUAAAGACACAGCCAGAGGACGUUCAGGAUGGAAAGACACGCUGUAAGCACAAACCUUCACAGUGCUGAUUGUGUCGAUCCAGCUUCGCCCCUGGGAGGCGCUGUUGGCCUGGAACGAGUAGGCAGCCACAGCACUUUUGAACUCGUUGAGGUAGAUGAGAACAAAAGAACCUACGGGAAGAAUGACAGACGUAAGGAGAACGUUAAACAGGUGGGAUGAUGUGAGUAUUUCAGAAACUGCCGAUCUCGUGGGAUUUUUAAUGUUUUAAUUAACAGUCUCUAGACAAUCUUCAACCGUCCAGUCCAGUGAGUUCAAGCACAAGUUUGCAAGCAUGUACGUGCAUGUGUGUAUGUGUGUGUGUAUUAACCUGGGUCUUUGAGCUCCUUGCACACAACAUUAUGAAGAAGGAGGGGCUGCCGGAUCACUUUGACCUUCUCUAAACGCUUCACGGGCUUCGUGAUGAGCAGGAGGUCGGUGAACAAAAUGCAGUAGACUUCCAUCUGAAGAGCAGACGCGCAUUAGCAAGCGCCCCCUCGAGGUGGAGCUGUCUGGUCUCCUCCGACGACACGUCCAUCAUAGGAGCCGUCAGGUCGAUGCGGUUAAACGCUUUCAGGAUCUGAGCACGGAAGAAUAAUAACAAUUCACCUCUGUGUCGAACAUAUU